rnacentral:rRNA from 1 species
ACUCCUACGGGAGGCAUCAGUGGGGAAUUUUCCGCAAUGGGCGAAAGCCUGACGGAGCAACGCCGCGUGAGGGAUGAAGGCCUCUGGGCUGUAAACCUCUUUUCUCAAGGAAGAAGAUCUGACGGUACUUGAGGAAUAAGCCACGGCUAAUUCCGUGCCAGCAGCCGCGGUAAUAC